AUUGAACGCUAGCGGGAUGCUUUACACAUGCAAGUCGAACGGCAGCGCGGACUUCGGUCUGGCGGCGAGUGGCGAACGGGUGAGUAAUGUAUCGGAACGUGCCCAGUAGCGGGGGAUAACUACGCGAAAGCGUAGCUAAUACCGCAUACGCACUACGGGGGAAAGCAGGUGAUCCUAAGUCCUUGCACUUUUUGAGCGGCCGAUAUCUGAUUAGCGAGUUGGUGCGGUAACGGCUCACCAAGGCUACGAUCCGUAGCUGGUUUGAGAGGACGACCAGACAGACUGUGAGUGAGACUGGGCAGCGACUCUUACGGGAGGACGCAGUGCGGACUCUUGCACGAUGCAGGAAUCCCUGAUACAGGACACCGGGCUGUGCGAUGAUGGACUUAUGGUGCUAAAGCAAUUUAGGCAGGAAAGAAACGUAGCGGGCUAACACGGCGUGAAACUGACGGUACCUGCAGAAUAAGCACCGGCUAACUCCGUG
rnacentral:rRNA from 1 species